AGAGGUUGCUGUCAAAUACUUUUCCAGAAGAUGGAACUGGCCACGCCUGGCUUAAGCUGGAGAGCGGGGGCUGUCCAUGGUGCUGAAAGAGGAGGUUGCUGUCAAAUACUUUUCCAGAAGAUGGAACUGGCCACGCCUGGCUUAAGCUGGAGAGCGGGGGCUGUCCAUGGUGCUGAAAGAGGAGGUUGCUGUCAAAUACUUUUCCAGAAGAUGAAC